rnacentral:rRNA from 1 species
GAUGAACGCUGGCGGCGUGCCUAAUACAUGCAAGUCGAGCGAACAGACGAGGAGCUUGCUCCUCUGACGUUAGCGGCGGACGGGUGAGUAACACGUGGAUAACCUACCUAUAAGACUGGGAUAACUUCGGGAAACCGGAGCUAAUACCGGAUAAUAUAUUGAACCGCAUGGUUCAAUAGUGAAAGACGGUUUUGCUGUCACUUAUAGAUGGAUCCGCGCCGCACUAGCUAGUUGGUAAGGUAACGGCUUACCAAGGCAACGAUGCGUAGCCGACCUGAGAGGGUGAUCGGCCACACGGGAACUGAGACACGGUCCAGACUCCUACGGGAGGCAGCAGUAGGGAAUCUUCCGCAAUGGGCGAAAGCCUGACGGAGCAACGCCGCGUGAGUGAUGAAGGUCUUCGGAUCGUAAAACUCUGUUAUUAGGGAAGAACAAUGUGUAAGUAACUAUGCACGUCUUGACGGUACCUAAUCAGAAAGCCACGGCUAACUACGUG